GUAUGUGGCUAAAGGAGCUAAAUUUGAAGAACCCUCCGAAAAAACAUACUCUGUUCUUUUCAUUUUGUGGACGGCAGACCAUCAGACCAAUACCCUUACCCCGAGAAAUGGUUGGGAUAUGUUAUUCCUCCGGCGAAAAAGGCUCGUCGGAUGCUUGUGAGGCUCCAAGAACCCUCAACCAGCUCUGCAAUCCAGGAGACUGAUAGGAUGACACCCAGUGAUGCUUCUACACAGGGGAAGUAUACAUUUAUUGAAGAUCACAUCUAUGCUGUCAGAGACUCACUCCAUUUUCCUCUCCUCCAUGACCAGGCAACACAGUGUCCUGAACAACAUCUUGUACACACCGUACUUCUCCGCAAUGAUCAGCUGUGUCUACUGUACACUGGGUUGUCAGUGGAUGCCUUUGAGGCUUUAUCCGACGUCCUGAAAGAAAGAUGCAGCAUCUCUUAGGGUUUCUGGAGUAUCUGCGUCCAGGUGAUGAGGUGAUGGCUGACCGAGGAUUCGUUAUCCAAGAUCUUCUGUUUGAACGUAAAGUCAAGCUCGUCCUGCCAGCUUUCACCAGAAGAGGCCUUCCCUUGUCCGAAGAAGACACCACCAACACGAGGCGCAAAGCCAACGUCCAAGUGCACGUUGAGAGGGUCAUACGCCACCUGAAGAACUAUAGAAUAGUCUCUCAAACAGUGCCUAUUAACCUUGCCCCAAAAUUUGACAAGAUUCUGAGAGUCUGCAGGUCUAAGUAAUAGGGAUGGGCGUGCGGAAUUGAUUACUCGAGUACUCCUCGUUACAAAUGAACUCGGUUGGUGGACAGGCAAACUCGAGUUUGCAUAUACA